rnacentral:lncRNA from 1 species
GUAUUCAGAAGCUCUCCUUCUAACCCAAGAAGUAUAAGGCGCCAAAGCGAUACAGUUUUUCGGACCAAGCUUCUUCCUCCCUUUCUUAUGGAUCUUGUGCCAAGCGCGGACCAUCGUGCCCUUCAAGCCCUGGGGAUCUUUACCCUCCUGAAAGAACACACUCUCUAACAGAAUGUUAUUGGGUUUAUCCUUUAGGGGGAACCCAAGCUAACUACGUGCCAAAAUAGGGUUGUAGUUAAU